UUAAGCAUUUAUAAUCAAAUAUAACCGUAGAAAUUAAUUAUAUUCCAACAAAAAAAUACCUUGUUCGGACUUACAGAAACGAUGUCGCUAAUCGCGAAUUAUCCAAACUUUCGGUUCUUCGUCAAGAUUUUCAGCUAAACUCUGAUUCACUAAACCCCGAAAUAUUCUGGUAAGGAUGGUAACAACGAUGGACUGCAGGAAUUGGGACGAAGACGUAUACAGAGACUCUAUUUUACUGGGGAGAGAAUCCCAAUGCCGAACUGUUUUCCGUACUGCAUUCGCCACGAACCCGAAUCCGAACCAUAAUUCUUAUCCGGACCUCAUCGUCGCCGCCGUUAGCGAUGGCUCUUUCGCCUCUUACUCUAUCUCCUCUUGCCUCGAUUUGAGCUCCGCGGGCAAUGGCUGAAUCUAGUUGGCUGGUACAAAGACAUGAAGGGUCCGCUUAUGAUGUUAAAUUUUAUGGCAACGAUGAGGAUUCACUGUUAUUGAGGAGGUACAUCAGAGCCAAUGCUUGACUUGGUGAAUCCUCAACAAAAUCUGGAUCCAUUUUUGCUGCUGCUGGUGAUUCUUAUGCAUACUGCUGGGAUCCUAUCCAUGAUCUGAGACAACGUAUGUGGUUGGAGUUGCUUAAAAAUUAUGAUUGUAAUAUCCGUUACCAUCCCGGCAAAGCGAAUGUGGUUGUUAAUGCUUUGAGCAGAAGAUCCAUGGGGACUUUGACCAGGUUAUGUGUGGUCAAACUUCCAAUAGUUACGGAAGCCUAACAAAUAGCUAGCCAAGGGGUUUGUCUCGAUGAGAAGUAUGAUGGAAGGUUGAUAGCAAGUAUCGGUGCUAAGUCUACUUUAGUAGAGCAAGUUAAAGCCAAAUAAUUUGAUGACCCUAGCUUGCUUAAGCUCAAGGAAGGUGUCCUCAGUGGCAAGAUUAAGAAUUUUGCACUUGAUGAGAAUGGUGUGAUGAGACUUGAUGGCCGCUUAUGCGUGCCUAAUGUGGAAGAUCUUCGAAGAGAAAUUAUGGUAGAAGCUCAUAGCUCCAGAUAUUCAAUACAUCCAAGUUCUAACAAAAUGUAUCAUAAUUUGAGGGAUGUUUAUUGGUGGAAUAGUAUGAAGCGAGAUAUUGCAGAUUAUGUAUCACAGUGCCUAAUCUAUCAACAAGUAAAAGCUGAACACCAGAGGCCAGGUGGCUUAGCUCAAGUCAUUGAAAUACCAUAAUGGAAAUGGGAGAGCAUAAAUAUGGAUUUUGUGGUGGGCUUGCUGCGAACUUUUAAGAAACACGACUCUAUUUGGGUUAUAGUUGACCGACUCACUAACUCAGCUCACUUUUUACCAGUCAAAAUAACCUCCACGGCACCCCAGUAUGCAACAUUAUACAUAAAGGAGAUUUGCUCGGUUUCAUGGUUCUCCCAUGUUUAUUAUUUCUGACAGGGGUGCACAGUUUACUGCCCAGCUCUGGCAGAGUUUUCAGGAAGGUCUCGGUACCCGAGUUAAUCUAAGUAUAACUUUUCACCCUCAAACGGACGCGCAGGACGAGAGGACAAUUCAGACAUUGAAAGAUAUGUUACGAGCAUGUGUUCUUGAUUUUAAAGGAAACUAGGAUGAUCAUCUACCUUUGAUUGAGUUCGCAUAUAAUAACAAUUAUCAAGUGAGCAUUCAGAUGUCCCCAUUCGAGGCCCUAUAUGGGAGGCGAUGUUAUUCGCCUGUAUGGUGGUUUGAGUUAGGUGAAAUGAAGCUUAUUGGGCCAAACAUAAUACAUGAUGCCUUAAAAAAGGUGAAACUUAUUCAGGAACAACUUAAAAUAGCUCAAAGCCAACAAAAGUCAUACUCAAAUAUAAGACGCUGCGAUCUUGAGUUCAAAGAGGGUGACUAUGUAUUUUUAAAGGUGUCUCCAAUGAAGGGUAUCAUGAGAUUUGAUAGAAAAGUGAAUCUUAGCCCAAGAUAUAUAGGGCCUUAUCCAAUUCUUAAAAGGAUUGGGCUUGUAACGUAUCGACUAGCUUUACCUAUAGAGUUAUCUUCUGUGCAUCCAGUUUUUCAUGUGUCCAUGCUGAAACAGUACUUUCACGACCCGAGUCAUGUACUUGAUAGACAGGAGAUAGAGGUUGAUGAUACUCUGACAUAUGAGGAGGUCCAUGUAGCUAUAGUAGACAGGCAGGUUCGUAGACUUCAAACCAAAGACGUUGCUUUGAUGAAAGUAACAUGGAGUAACCACUCAGCUGGGGAAUCUAUGUGGGAGCUCGAGGAAGCCAUGAAGAAAAAGUAUCCUUAUUUGUUAGAAAUUUCUAGUAAAUAAUUCAUUUUAAGCUUUAAAAUAUUUAGAUUGUCAAGUUAUGUGAUAUUUGUACUUAUAAUGAUGUAAAAUGGCUUUGGCAGGUAUAUGGGUGUGUCUUGAAGUUGUAUAUUAUUAGAUUGAGUAGCUGGAGGUGCAAAGUAUUAUUGUUCGAUUGGUUUGACAGGUUGAUUUUUUUUUUGAUAUCUCAAGUUACAAAGGAAACUCUGCCGAAAGUUUUGAAAAUUGUAGAAGUUAGUCAAAUUUUGGGGGUAAUAAAGGAUGGUGUGAGUAGCGCAAUGUCAUGACCCAAACUAACUCCUGUCGUGAUGGUGCCUAUCGUGGAACUAGGC